rnacentral:rRNA from 1 species
AGAACUUAGCAGAGAUGCUUUGGUGCCUUCGGGAACUCUGAGACAGGUGCUGCAUGGCUGUCGUCAGCUCGUGUUGUGAAAUGUUGGUUAAGUCCGCAACGAGCGCAACCCUUAUCCUUUGUUGCCAGCGGUCCGGCCGGGAACUCAAAGGAGACUGCCAGUGAUAAACUGGAGGAAGGUGGGGAUGACGUCAAGUCAUCAUGGCCCUUACGAGUAGGGCUACACACGUGCUACAAUGGCGCAUACAAAGAGAAGCGACCUCGCGAGAGCAAGCGGACCUCAUAAAGUGCGUCGUAGUCCGGAUUGGAGUCUGCAACUCGACUCCAUGAAGUCGGAAUCGCUAGUAAUCGUAGAUCAGAAUGCUACGGUGAAUACGUUCCCGGGCCUUGUACACACCGCCCGUCACACCAUGGGAGUGGGUUGCAAAAGAAGUAGGUAGCUUAACCUUCGGGAGGGCGCUUACCACUUUGUGAUUCAUGACUGGGGUGAAGUCGUAACAAGGUAAGCGUAGCGAG